rfam:Schistosoma curassoni strain Dakar, Senegal genome assembly, scaffold: SCTD_scaffold0000175
AUCCAGCUGACGAGUCCGAAAUAGGACGAAGUGUCUCGCGUCCUGGAU